rnacentral:rRNA from 1 species
GACGAACGCUGGCGGCGUGCCUAGUACAUGCAAGUCGAACGCUUUUUCUUUCACCGGAGCUUGCUCCACCGAAAGAAAAAGAGUGGCGAACGGGUGAGUAACACGUGGGUAACCUGCCCAUCAGAAGGGGAUAACACUUGGAAACAGGUGCUAAUACCGUAUAACACUAUUUUCCGCAUGGAAGAAAGUUGAAAGGCGCUUUUGCGUCACUGAUGGAUGGACCCGCGGUGCAUUAGCUAGUUGGUGAGGUAACGGCUCACCAAGGCAACGAUGCAUAGCCGACCUGAGAGGGUGAUCGGCCACACUGGGACUGAGACACGGCCCAGACUCCUACGGGAGGCA